rnacentral:rRNA from 1 species
AUUGAACGCUGGCGGCAUGCUUUACACAUGCAAGUCGAACGGUAACAGGCCGCAAGGUGCUGACGAGUGGCGAACGGGUGAGUAAUGCAUCGGAACGUGCCCAGUCGUGGGGGAUAACUACUCGAAAGAGUAGCUAAUACCGCAUACGAUCUAUGGAUGAAAGCGGGGGACCGUAAGGCCUCGCGCGAUUGGAGCGGCCGAUGUCAGAUUAGGUAGUUGGUGGGGUAAAGGCUCACCAAGCCAACGAUCUGUAGCUGGUCUGAGAGGACGACCAGCCACACUGGGACUGAGACACGGCCCAGACUCCUACGGGAGGCAGCAGUGGGGAAUUUUGGACAAUGGGCGCAAGCCUGAUCCAGCAAUGCCGCGUGCAGGAAGAAGGCCUUCGGGUUGUAAACUGCUUUUGUACGGAACGAAACGGCUCUGGUUAAUACCCGGGGCUAAUGACGGUACCGUAAGAAUAAGCACCGGCUACUACGUG